GGCUGCGCACGCUAAUCACCGCCUAGCCCCGUCCCGCGAGCAGAGCCGCUUUCAGCUUUUCGAGUCGCCCGGUUCCGCCGGCCUCUCCUGUUUCCCACGGAUGGGACCUUCCGAAGGGCGCCGAAUGGGGCUCUGGAAGGGACCACUGGGAAAGCGGGGGGGGGGGGCCCGAGCGGAGCGCCGCGCGGCUUCCUUUGGCUCGAGUACAAUAGCGGGGCUGCGGGGCGCCUACAGCUCCCAGGCUGCGGGGCUGCGGCCGGCGCCGCGCGGCAUGCCGGGACCUGUAGUCGCGGCGGGGCGGCGGCGCCCGCUCGGGCCCCCGGCCGGGAAGGCAGGGCGCCGGGGCGGGUUUUGCGUUGUUGCCCUCUUACCGAGGGUGCCGCUGAAAGGGCCGGCGGGAGGCCUCGAGCCGCGGAAGGAGGCCGAGGCGGGACGCAGGGCUCCCGGAGGCCGAGCGGCCGGCGCCGCUGCGCUGAUGUUCAUGGAGGCUAAUGUACGGAGGACAGAAGGACACAUCAAGGAACUGGGAGAGAGAUCCAGUGCUGUGCUGAGAUAUGCCAGAUGCCAUACAACGGGCUGGAAGCAUGGUGAACUACUAGUGACAAGCAAAAAAAGCAUGAUUGCCUCAAGUAGAGCUGAAAUCAAUGAGGCUGAAGUUAGGCACAAAUGUCCCUCAAAUUUUGGAAUAGAUGAACAUAGGAUAAGAACUGGAACAGAACAGCAAAAGUCACCAAGUCCAAGCUCCUCCCACCAUGUGCAAACACAGUACGUAAUUCUAUUAAUAAAACUGUCUAGUGUCAUCUCAAAAUAAAUCAUAAUGUUUGCCUCCACUGGUUGCACUGGAAGACCACUGCUAUAAUGUUAGGAGGCCUUCCUUAUUUCCAGCCUCUGUUUUUCAAGGAUAUUUUUUUUCCUGUGCCAAGUAUCUCUUCCUCCCAUUCAUCUUAGUCUUUGUUUUACUAUAUUGGAAAAGCUACAAUUUUACUCUCCUCUUACACCAAGUUCCUAAUCAUUCCUAACAGACCUUCUCUACAUCUGGAGAACUGAAUUAAUUCUUUAAGUUGAACCAAUCUUUCUUGAAUAAGGAUGAUUAGAACUGUGCAAAGUUCCAGAUCAUAUUUUAUUGAAAAACAGCACUAAGGUCUGAGUCUGCUCGCCAGGGAUGAAGGGUAAAAGACACAAUGAAUAGGUGCAAUUUCCAGAGAAAAGAAGAAAACAGAGGAGGAAGCUUUUGGUUAAAGACUGAUUGCUUAAGAGCAAGUAUGAGCAAACCAGCAUGGCACCUACAGGACCUGUUCUUGACACCUGAGAACAGCAGGAAGGAAUGGCUACAGGAGGAAAGGGAACUACUCUACUGGGCAGCCAUCACCGUUCCUACCAUACACCAUGUAUUGCAAUAGGAAUAACAGUGCAGAAUUCAUUGCAUACUCCAUUAACAGCUAAUCAAGGCAGUGACAUUGCCAGGGGCUUUGAAACAUUGAUAUAGGACCUAGCAACCAAGAAAGUCCACUGACCCAACUUUCAAGCAAGGCUAGUUCUUCAGAAAAUGGUCCAUAUGAUUCAAUGGCAUUCUGGUGGAAUUCAGUGGAUUUCUUGGCACCUCAGGUCCACUGUGAAAGCUGGAUAUGUAAAUAAAUAAGUUGCAUGGUAUUUUCUCCUUGAGAAC
ensembl:lncRNA